rnacentral:tRNA from 1 species
GCGUUCGUGGUGUAGUGGUCAGCACGCUCGGCGCGUAUUCGAGAGGUCCGUGGUUCGAGUCCCGGCGAGGGCA